UCCGUCACUAACGAACCAUCCUUGGAAACUAGAAGAGUAACAAAGAAGAGAAAAGGACUAUAGCUGCCUCAAUCAUAGAUUGGAUCAAAAGAAUCACUGCAGAGCUUUGGACUUGUAGGAUGUGAUACUUCGGAGUUCAUCUACAAAAACAUGCUGUACAGACAAAGAGGAAACAACUGCUUAUGGCUGAUAUCAUCUGCUUGAAAUAGCUGUCUAUCACAAAAAAUUGUAAAACCUUUGGGUUUUAAGGUGUGUCUAUGCAUGUAUGCAAAAAGAGGUUCUUUGCCUAAAAUGCAAGACCAGCUUGAUUUAUUUUGUAUGUCACACUGCAUAAAUAUUCCCAUCUGCUUUGCAAAGGGGAGAAAAUACGAGAUCCGAGGUUAGCUCAGCUUGUUUGCGGAGGAUAGGUGGUUAGCUUAUUUUCAAACUUACGGAAUGAUACUCAAAAAAAAAAAAGAUACAACAAACUGUAAUGACUUAAAACAAAGAGAUGAGUAAUUGCCAAUAAUUCAAGGCAAAACAACUGAAUUCCUUCUAUGAUAGGACAGUAAGAGAGUAGCUAUGGAUGCCACCUAUCUUGACUUUAGUGUGCCUCUGACUAUGUUUUACACAACCUUCUUGACUAUAAGUGAGGAAGAUGUGUUGUCCACUAAAUGACUGUGAAGUAGGAACAAACCUACCUGGAAGACAGUGUUUGGAGAAGAGCUAUCAAUGCUUCACUAUCAAACUCAAAGCAUUUACUGAGAGGGGAUUCCCAUUCAGCCGUUCCCCAUCCAUUAUUUUCAGUACAUUAAUGAGUAGCUUACUUACAUAACAAAGUAGAAUAUUUAUGCUUAAAAAUAUACAGCUUUUACCAAAUUGGAACAGUCUGGAAGUGCAUUGGAAGUUGGUAUUACAAUGCUAAAUCAUCUUCACAAAUUGGCAACAAGCACUGGGAAAAAACCAGCACAAACGCAAAGUGUGAUAUGUAGGUAAGGACAAUAAACCACCCAAGUACUGGUUAUGUUGCAGCUCUGUACGGGUUUAUCAUGGAUCAGACUGAACAAUGUCAGCAAUGUCAAGCUUUUGUGAAAACAUCAACCAUCGUGCUGGGAUAUGACAUAAGCAGAGUCUGCAACAAGUGAAGUAACGAUUCUUCUCUCCUGACCAAUGGGAAGAACUCGGCUCCGUGCUGUGCCUGAUUUUGGACAUUACACUUCAAGAUGUGACCCGUUAGAGUGCGUCUAAAGGAGAAUGAGAGAGUGCGUCUAAAGGAGAAUGAGAAUGGCCAGAAAUGAGGGAUGUCACUUUUGAGAAGAGUCUGAUCAGAGGUACAAGCCUUCAAAGGUCUAAAAGUAACAAUCAAAAGGGAAAGUCAACUUGUUCUUCCUGGCUACUGUGGACAGGUUGAAAAGGAAAGGAAUCUCCGCAAGGGAGAUUUAAGUUGCACACCAGAAAGGGAAGCUAUUAAGAUCUGCCAUACUGGGUCAUACUGCAAGUCCUCGUAGCCCAAAUACUGGCCAUCUAGGCUAUCAUCAUCAGGCUCUCAAGCACUGAUGAUGUCUGAGCUCUGGAAGGUAGCAUUUCAUAUUGAGAUCUGUCCAACAUAUCUAGCAUUUUUCUUUUUUUUGGAUUAAAAAGGUUAUGGUGAUGUCUGCAUGUUCCUAAGGGAACGUCUCAGUUUUGCAUGGAUUAAACUGUGUUUGCUUUAGCACUCUAAUGAUGAUGAUCUCCUGUCACAGGGAGAAGUGCCCCUACGAAUGCUACAGAUAUAGCUGUUGUUUUCACAAUAUCUUUCUGUUAGAUUUGCAGGUUUCGGGAAUUACCUGGAUCGGAUGGCGCUGCUUCCCCUUAGCUUUUUUCUGCAUCUGUUGGAAAAACCUUUCUGGUUUUUCAACUAUUUUUCAACCAUUUUUUGAUCUUUUUUUUACAGUUAUCUGUCACAAAGAUGUUCAUUUCCGUGGGUUUUUGUUUGCAGCAAGUACGUGUUGUUGUGUUUUCAGCUCCUGCAGAUGAUCUUUCAGGAAAAAUAUUUUAGUGCUGACUUGUUCAGUUAGUCAGCAAAGGUAUUUUGCAGGACUAAUUAAGCCUUGCUAACUUUCUGUAGCACUUACAGCUCAUUGAUUUACCAUAAAUGCAUGCAAUCCUCUUGCCGUCUUGGCUCAGGAUCAAAACAGUCCUAAGUGGAGUGCCCUCCAUAUAGUCAGGUCAGCUGAGAAUAUUUGGGCUGAAUUGUAUGAUUUUCAUCUUUUUUUUAUUUUGAGAAUUAAAAAAAAAAGUUGCAGGGAAAGGAUGAAGCUGUGAAAGGACUAUGGUGGUUGUGCUGGGAAAAUGUAUGAAUAUGACUUGACUUGCUCAGAUGCUUUUGUGGGGACUACUUACUUUCCUUUAAAAGGUAACUAUUCGUAUUUCUUUCAAGUUUUCUAAGUGAAAUGAGUGUUCAAUGGUUAGAUUUACUUCCCAGAAAGCACAGAGAGCACCAGAAAAAAAACAACAACAAAAACUCUUGCUAUUUCUAUACUAUUAAAUUAAAGAGAGCUGGGGAUUGCUGCUGGGCACUAGAUCCAUCCAUCUACACUGACACCAUGCCAGGGCUGCCUCAGCCCAAUUUUGGCCCGUGCAAAAUCAUGGGAUGGGACCCUUGAGACCCUUUCCGACCCUUCUCCAUUAUCGGUUUGCAUUUGGCCAUCUUGUUUUGAAGGAUAAGGUAGUUUAAAGGUAGUUUAAAGGAAGGGAUUUGUGCUAUUCUGUGUCGGCUGGCCUCAUUGCCAGAGAAUGGCCUUGGGCACAUUGAAUUUACUGCCAUAUCAUAGGCCAUCUGUCCUGGACAGACAGGAAGGCAUUAAUGUUUUAUCUCUAGUAAAGGGGUUUCUACCUCAAGGCUGAGGUCAACGCAAGGUCACUAUGAAAAAUCUUGGCCUCUAACUGUUUACACAGUGACUACCCUUCUGGUUUGUACAAGAUCUGCCAGUUCCCAACAUAACCGGCACUUUUGCUGUUAAGAACACAAAUACUCACUAGUGAUAAUUACCGGAAAAAAUACAGAGCUCCUCGUUCCUUCCCCUUUUACGAAAGCUAACUUUGUCCGAUACUAUUUGACAUGUAUUUGUACAGGACUGAAGACAAACGCUGGAAAACCGUAGCUGAUCUUAUUUCUCAGUAACCACUAGCAGAGCAAAGCAUAAAAAGAAUAAUCUCAACCCCGCCAACAAUCUUACAGCCUAGACACCCCGAUAAAUUAGAGAAUAAUACAUUCCCACGGAGUCUUGGGAUUUAACCUUGAAAGAAUCCACCGUGACUGAGCAGAAAUCUUUCAGUCAAGCAUCACAGGAGAACGAGAGAGUCCUGGAACUAAUUGAACCAAAAGAAUAACGAGAGGUCAUCGCUGGAGUGACGAGAAAGGCUGCAGGAUAGCUAGCCCCAGACUUGUGAGGAAAAAAUGAAAAUAGCAACAGUAAUAUUAAAAAAUACUAAAACACACUCUUCUCUUCCCACAAAGAACCCUACAUGGUUUUAAAAAAUGGUGAGAAAGAGGCUAUUAGGAGUUAAAAAGAUAUCCUGCAGAAUACAGAAGUCAUGUCCAAAAAAGAAAAAUAGAAAAUAAUAUUAGCUCUGACAAGUUAAAUAUAAAACUGAAAUAAGGCCAGCCACAAAGGAUUUUGAAGAGCAACUUGCUAAAAACAAACAAGCUCAUAAUAAAAUAUGUUUAAAAGGACCUCAGAAGCAGGAAGUUGGCUAGAGAGCGAGUGGGACUAAUACAUGAUUGAGGUGUAAAAGGAAGAUUAAAAACCCCAGCAGGAAAGCAAAAUAGACUGUUUGCACUAUUUCACUCCAGCGAAAAUCCUGAAGGUUCUCUGAUCCUUUCAAUUAUGAUGGAUAAAUCUAUAGAACUGCCUCAGUUGAACUGCCAAUAAAACCUAUUUCUAAACAAAUCAACAGAGGAAACAGGAACAAAUUGCUAAGCAGGAUCACCUUGAAAUGUUCUAGACCUGGGAUGAUGGUUCUUUCAACCUUCCUAUUUUCACUCCUCUUCUGGCUCCUUCCACCUCCUUCCUUUUAUCUGAUGAAUAUGACAUGCAGUCCCUGUACGGAUUUGUUCUAAAAAAAGGUUUUACUGACACUUCAAUCUGGGGAGUGCUCCCAGCACUCAAGGGAGCCCAGCUAAAUUGGCUUCCAUAGGCAUCUCUCUGAAGGGAGGGGAAGGUGGCACUCUGCUCACACAGUCUCCUCUUGCUGUGGCCUGCUUGCUAGCACUAGGCAGAAUUAACUCAAGACCUGCAAAAGAAAUCAGACAUGAAGGUGAUAAACCAUCAGCUGUGGCACAUAGGACAAAAGCAUGUGAAGAACCGUUCAUAAAGAACUGCGAGCAAAACGCAGAACAUCAUUAUGCCACUGCAUAAAGCUUUGGCUACAACUACUAACACAAGUCUUGAUUCCCAAAUACGGCUAUGGUCACCUCAUCUCAAGAGACUGUGCAGGAAAACACAGAGAAGGACAACAGGGACGCUCAGAAACACAGAACAAUUUUCACACAAAGAAACUAAAUUGGCUCAGACGCUUCAGCUGGAAAAGAAACAAUUCAGGAGAAAGGUGAUGGACAGAUAUCUGUGAAACCAUCGGUAUUACCAAAGGUGAAAAUGCAAUAAUUCCCCGCUCUCAUAAUACCAGGAAUAGGGUUCAUUCCGUAGAACUAGCAGGCAAUCUUUUAAAACAAACAAAAAGAAAAACUUCCUUUCUCCAUACAACACAUAAUUAAAAUUAUAACGCUAAUUGGAACAGGAGACUGUGAAGGCCUCAAGUGCAAAUGGAUGCAAAGAGGGAUUUGACAAAUUCACAGAGCUAGGUUACUCAGGGGCUGUAAAAAAUGAGGGCCUUGAUGCAACUUCCAACUCAGGGAAUCUCUAACGCCUGGACUGUCAGAAGCUAGGACCUACAUGUAGUAGGGAUGCUACAGUAUCCCAGUCCCAAGCACCGCCUACUGACUGCCGCUGACUACUGGGCUGGACAGACCCUACAUUUGACCUGGUACAGUCCUUUUUAUUUCUUUAUGUGCCUCCAGACAAAACAUGAUCCUAAUUUUCUUUUCUAAAACACAGAAUGACGUUGCUUAAGAUAAAAUGUGGUAACAACUUCAACCUUGUUACAUACUGUUUCUCUAAUGAAGAAGCCAACCUAAUAAAACCUAAUAAAAGCA